UCAAGUUUCUUUCGCAUGUGACAGGGCAGAUAUAAUCUCCUUUGAGGCGUUUUGCUUUUCUACGUAUGUCUUCUCCUAUUUUGCAAACUUGUCCCAAAACUCCUGGCCAGUUAAUCUAAGAACAGAGUCUACUGACAGAGGUAAACGACGAGAUAAACGAACGCACAGAAUCUCUGCUCUCCAUUAACGUCCCGCGCUCCGGCUCUAAUAUCGCGAGAGGGCUCUACUCCAGAUAGAGGUGGGAUUCAACGGCGUACGUCCCAGCAGCCUUUGCGCAUGUCGUACGUACGCUCCCUUCUUGAGCUAUAAAUAUGGCUGCUUCAGCCUUCUUCGGUCUUUCUCGCAGCGGCAACGGCGCUAACAAAGUCGGUCUAUAUCCGUGAAUUCUUUGAAGAUUCCAGAUAACUUCUUAGGCAGGAGAAGGUAACCAUACUGGACUUGUGGCAGAUGACCUGGUUUUAUUUGGGUUCCUUGAAUUAGGGAGACCUGGUAAAGUGAUACUAGUUACCUUGGGGUUUGUUUUCCAGUAGUACUGUUAUCCUGCAUUUGUCUCUUGGUCUUGUUUUUUUUUUUUUUAGGCAAGGGCUCACUUUAUAGUUGUGAGGUGUUUGUUCGUGGGGUUUUGGUUUUUUUGUGUUUUUUUUCCUUUGUGUUUUUGAGACAGGGUCUCGCUGUGCAGUUUAGGCUGGCC